rnacentral:rRNA from 1 species
AGUGGGGAAUAUUGCGCAAUGGGCGAAAGCCUGACGCAGCGACACCGCGUGGGGGAUGAAGGUCUUCGGAUCGUAAACUCCUGUUAAGUGGGAAGAAAGACCCGUUUCUAAUACAAACGGGCAAUGACUGUACCAUUAGAGAAAGCACCGGCUAACUUCGUGCCAGCAGCCGCGGUAAUACGAGGGGUGCAAGCGUUAUUCGGAAUCAUUGGGCGUAAAGGGUGUGUAGACGGUGUGCUAAGUCUGUUGUUAAAUUUUCCGGCCUAACCGGAAAUCUGCGGUGGAAACUAGUACGCUAGAGGAUGGAAGAGAGAAGUGGAAUUCUCGGAGUAGCGGUAAAAUGCGUAGAUCUCGAGAGGAACACCGAUGGCGAAGGCAGCUUCUUGGUCCAUUCCUGACGUUGAAACACGAAAGCGUGGGGAGCAAACAGGAUUAGAUACCCUGGUAGUCCACGCCGUAAACGAUAAUCACUAGACGUUAGCCUUGUUUACAGGGUUAGUGUCGUAGCUAACGCGUUAAGUGAUUCGCCUGGGGAGUACGGUCGCAAGAUUAAAACUCAAAGGAAUUGACGGGGGUCCGCACAAGCGGUGGAACAUGUGGUUUAAUUCGACACUACGCGAGAAACCUUACCUAGGCUUGACAUGUGCUUGACAGCUGUAGAAAUACAGUCUUUUGGGCUUCGGUCCAGACAGGUGCACAGGUGCUGCAUGGCUGUCGUCAGCUCGUGUCGUGAGAUGUUGGGUUAAGUCCUUUAACGAGCGCAACUCUUGCCGUCAGUUGCUAAUUUUAAGUAAAGCACUCUGGCGGGACUGCCUGGGAAACCAGGAGGAAGGUGGGAAUGACGUCAAGUCAUCAUGGCCCUUAUGCCUAGGGCUACACACGUGUUACAAUGGCCAGUACAAAGGGCUGCAAACCUGCAAGGGCAAGCGAAUCCCAUAAAGCUGGUCUAAGUUCGGAUUGGGAUCUGCAACUCGAUCCCAUGAAGUUGAAAUCGCUAGUAAUCGCGUAUCAUAACGACGCGGUGAAUACGUUCUCGGACCUUGUACACACCGCCCGUCAAACCACGAAAGCUUUUUGUACCCGAAACUGCUUUAGCUAACCCGUAAGGGAGGCGAGUACCUAAGGUAUGGAGGGUGAUUGGGGUU